UGUUUGCGUUAGGGAUAAUAGUGGAAAUCCUUUUGCGAAUUACGAGCAAAAGAUUGUAGCGAAUAGCCCGACCCGAU
rnacentral:sRNA from 1 species